GGGGUAAACCUGCGAAACUCGAAUGAACGAACGGAGAGAUUCAUCGUCAUCCGCGGCGUGCCGGCGCGUCGAUCCAGAUGCCGGUCGGCCCCGCGCCGGCCGGCACUUCGCGCGCCGGUUCACGCCCGCGGACGGCGUGCACUUCUCUCUCAGUACGCAUGCAUCGCGACCCGUUCGAUGUCGGUCUAAGCGCCGUCCGGGAGCCCCGUCACGUCCCCUAAUAAGGGUCGAGACGGGACCGUUGACGGACGCCGACCGGCCGUCGGACGGUAUACGAUAACGAAACGCGCACGCGUGUUCAUAACGCGCGUCCGGCCCGACGCAAGUCAACGUCGUCGCCGUCGUUCACCGCCCGAGUGCGGACGGCGGUGCGGCGCGUCUGUUGUCGCAGCCGUGUUCGGUCUCGGACCUUGCGCGUCUCAGUCUGCGAUGAUUCAGUUUCGGGCACUCGCAGGACCCGUCUUGAAACACGGACCAAGGAGUCUAGCAUGUGGGCGAGUCAUUGAGUCUCUUUUGGAUAAACUGAAAGGCGCAACGAAAGUGAAGGCGUGCCGCUGUUCGCGCAGCGCGCGCUCAGGGAGGAUGGAGCGCCGGUCUAGGUCGGCCUCCCGCACUCCCGAGGCGUCUCGUUUCCAAUCCGGAAGCAGGCGCGCUC
rnacentral:rRNA from 1 species